rnacentral:lncRNA from 1 species
CGCAGCAAGGGCCAGACUCUGCGCUAGCAGGCGCUGCGCGCCAACCGGCCGGCACCUGUCGCAGAAGGUGCAACCGAUCGCACUGUCGCGCAGAAGCUCCUCAAUGGCCAGCGCCAGCUGCAGCCCCGGCCGCCCACUCGCCUCAUCUGAGCCUGGGCAAAUCUGGAUUGGGAAAGUUGACAUUAAUCAACUCAUUAUUCCUCACAGAUUUGUAUUCUCCAGAGUAUCCAGGUCCUUCUCAGAGAAUUAAAAAGCCUGUACAGGUCUAGAUAUUGGUAUUUUUAAUUGAUGAUAAGCUGGAAUAAUAUUAAUACACACAAAGCACGUGUUGUAACUUUCAUUAUGCUUCCUUAGAGCGCUGCUCUAAGCUGUUGAUGAAAAAUAUUGUUGGUGAGCUCUGCUUAGGUAAUAUAUAGGACAUGAGCAGAGAGGAGGCACGUGAACAGUUCUGGCCUGGAGUAGGCUUCAUUGAGGCUGUGAUGCUUUUAGCUGGAUUUGAAGAAGUGGUAGUGAUCAUCCCAGUGCACAGGAUAGGUGGACAGUCUAUGUAUUCUGAGCAGUAACUCAUAUAUCUCAUACUGCAAGACCCCAAAGGAGUAAUUUUGUGAACUCUGUUCACGGAAAGGGCCUGGGAGCUGCAACACCUCAACAGCAACAAGCACACCUGCUACCUAGAACUUGGUUUCUAAAAACCAUCCUCCUCUAAAAGGAAACAGAGCUCUUUGAAGAAACGUGUGCAGUGAAGUGCUCCAGAGGCCCCAGCAUGCUACAUUACAG